GACGAACGCUGGCGGCGUGCUUAACACAUGCAAGUCGAACGGAAAGGCCCUGCUUUUGUGGGGUGCUCGAGUGGCGAACGGGUGAGUAACACGUGAGUAACCUGCCCUUGACUUUGGGAUAACUUCAGGAAACUGGGGCUAAUACCGGAUAGGAGCUCCUGCUGCAUGGUGGGGGUUGGAAAGUUUCGGCGGUUGGGGAUGGACUCGCGGCUUAUCAGCUUGUUGGUGGGGUAGUGGCUUACCAAGGCUUUGACGGGUAGCCGGCCUGAGAGGGUGGCCGGCCACAUUGGGACUGAGAUACGGCCCAGACUCCUACGGGAGGCAGCAGUGGGGAAUAUUGCACAAUGGGCGGAAGCCUGAUGCAGCAACGCCGCGUGCGGGAUGACGGCCUUCGGGUUGUAAACCGCUUUCGCCUGUGACGAAGCGUGAGUGACGGUAAUGGGUAAAGAAGCACCGGCUAACUACGUGCCAGCAGCCGCGGUGAUACGUAGGGUGCGAGCGUUGUCCGGAUUUAUUGGGCGUAAAGGGCUCGUAGGUGGUUGAUCGCGUCGGAAGUGUAAUCUUGGGGCUUAACCCUGAGCGUGCUUUCGAUACGGGUUGACUUGAGGAAGGUAGGGGAGAAUGGAAUUCCUGGUGGAGCGGUGGAAUGCGCAGAUAUCAGGAGGAACACCAGUGGCGAAGGCGGUUCUCUGGGCCUUUCCUGACGCUGAGGAGCGAAAGCGUGGGGAGCGAACAGGCUUAGAUACCCUGGUAGUCCACGCUGUAAACGGUGGGUACUAGGUGUGGGGUCCAUUCCACGGGUUCCGUGCCGUAGCUAACGCUUUAAGUACCCCGCCUGGGGAGUACGGCCGCAAGGCUAAAACUCAAAGGAAUUGACGGGGCCCCGCACAAGCGGCGGAGCAUGCGGAUUAAUUCGAUGCAACGCGUAGAACCUUACCUGGGUUUGACAUGGAUCGGGAGUGCUCAGAGAUGGGUGUGCCUCUUUUGGGGUCGGUCCACAGGUGGUGCAUGGCUGCCGUCAGCUCGUGUCGUGAGAUGUUGGGUUAAGUCCCGCAACGAGCGCAACCCUUGUUCACUGUUGCCAGCACGUUAUGGUGGGGACUCAGUGGAGACCGCCGGGGUCAACUCGGAGGAAGGUGGGGAUGACGUCAAGUCAUCAUGCCCCUUAUGUCCAGGGCUUCACGCAUGCUACAAUGGCUGGUACAGAGAGUGGCGAGCCUGUGAGGGUGAGCGAAUCUCGGAAAGCCGGUCUCAGUUCGGAUUGGGGUCUGCAACUCGACCUCAUGAAGUCGGAGUCGCUAGUAAUCGCAGAUCAGCAACGCUGCGGUGAAUACGUUCCCGGGGCU
rnacentral:rRNA from 1 species